AGCGGAAGGACGUGUUUAGAAGGCGCCGCCGGGGGCGGGGCUUGGGGAGGACACGCCGUGCGCCAACCAACGCCCCCUGACGGCCGCUCUCUGCACACGCUCCCGUGAGGCCGUGGGAAACUGCGCUCGUUCGCGCGAAAUGGAAUUCCCUUUGCUUCAGUUCCAAACAAAGAUCUCUACAGUCACUUCAAGCAUUUUUGCACCAAUAGAUUAAGAUUUAGCUCCUGGCUCACUGCCGCUCUCUCCAGCACUGCUCCUGUCAUGAUUCCUGUGAUGCCCUUGCUUCCUAGCCACCGAGGAAACUUCAGCAAUGGCAGGAGAACUUCCAUAACUCACCUACCGCAUCCCAGCUACCAGCACUGUACUCGAAUCCUCUGCCUUCGUCCUGUUCCUUCAAUGGAUCCUAACCCCUGUCACCUAUUCAGAAACCUGCCUCUGGCAGUUCCUCCCUUUUUGUCCCUGCUUUUCCCUGGAUUGUUCCCAUCAACACACAAAUAAAUACGCAGUCGUUUCUCCCAUCUUAAAAACCUGAUCUUUACCCCGACUCCCUUUCCAACUACUGCUGUUUUCCUUCCUUUACAACAAAACUGAAAGAUUUGUCUAUAUUUACUAUUUCCAAUUACUCUCCUCAUUCUUUUUUUUUUGUUUUUGAGCUAUGAUUCACAUACCAUAAACGUCACCAUUUUAAAGUGUACCAUUCAGUGGGUUUUAGUAUGUUCACAAGGUUGUACAACCACCACCAGUAUCUAAUCCAGAACACUUUCAUUACCCCCAAAAGACACCUGUGCCCGUUAGCAGUCACUCUCCAUUCCCCUUCUCCCCCCAGCCUUAGGCAACCACUAACCUACUUUCUGUUUCUAUGGGUUUGAAUAUUCUGGACGUUUCAUAUAAAUGGAAUCAUACAUUAUGUGGCCAUUUGUGUCUGGCUUCUUUCACAAUUUUUCAGGGUUCCUUCAGGUGGCAUGUGUCAGUAAUUCUUUCCUUUUUAUGGCUGAAUAAUAUUCCACUGUGUGGACAUAAUCAUUUUGUUUAUCCAUUUAUCAGUUGAUGGACACUAGGG